UAUUUUGAACUGCAUGGUUCGAAAUUGAAAGGCGGCUUCGGCUGUCACUUAUGGAUGGACCCGCGUCGCAUUAGCUAGUUGGUGAGGUAACGGCUCACCAAGGCAACGAUGCGUAGCCGACCUGAGAGGGUGAUCGGCCACACUGGGACUGAGACACGGCCCAGACUCCUACGGGAGGCAGCAGUAGGGAAUCUUCCGCAAUGGACGAAAGUCUGACGGAGCAACGCCGCGUGAGUGAUGAAGGCUUUCGGGUCGUAAAACUCUGUUGUUAGGGAAGAACAAGUGCUAGUUGAAUAAGCUGGCACCUUGACGGUACCUAACCAGAAAGCCACGGCUAACUACGUGCCAGCAGCCGCGGUAAUACGUAGGUGGCAAGCGUUAUCCGGAAUUAUUGGGCGUAAAGCGCGCGCAGGUGGUUUCUUAAGUCUGAUGUGAAAGCCCACGGCUCAACCGUGGAGGGUCAUUGGAAACUGGGAGACUUGAGUGCAGAAGAGGAAAGUGGAAUUCCAUGUGUAGCGGUGAAAUGCGUAGAGAUAUGGAGGAACACCAGUGGCGAAAGCGACUUUCUGGUCUGUAACUGACACU
rnacentral:rRNA from 1 species